rnacentral:rRNA from 1 species
AUUGAACGCUGGCGGCAUGCUUUACACAUGCAAGUCGAACGGCAGCGCGGGCUUCGGCCUGGCGGCGAGUGGCGAACGGGUGAGUAAUGCAUCGGAACGUGCCCAGUAGUGGGCGAUAGCCCGGCGAAAGCCGGAUUAAUACCGCAUACGACCUGAGGGUGAAAGCGGGGGACCGAAAGGCCUCGCGCUAUUGGAGCGGCCGAUGUCGGAUUAGCUAGUUGGUGGGGUAAAGGCUUACCAAGGCGACGAUCCGUAGCUGGUCUGAGAGGACGACCAGCCACACUGGGACUGAGACACGGCCCAGACUCCUACGGGAGGCAGCAGUGGGGAAUUUUGGACAAUGGGGGCAACCCUGAUCCAGCCAUGCCGCGUGCGGGAAGAAGGCCUUCGGGUUGUAAACCGCUUUUGUUCGGGAAGAAAUCCUCUGGGCUAAUACCCCGGGGGGAUGACGGUACCGGAAGAAUAAGCACCGGCUAACUACGUG